rnacentral:misc_RNA from 1 species
AACGCACAUUGCGCCCUCUGGUAUUCCGGAGGGCAUGCCUGUUUGAGUGUCAUGUAGACUCAUCCCCCCGGGUUUUUGGACCUGGUGGGGGUUGGAUUUGGGCGGUUUGCCGUUGAUUCUGGCUCGCCUUAAAAGCCUCAGUGGUUGAAGACGUAAUAAGUCAUCGUCACGAUGCCACUCUAAGCCUGGGUUCCGGCCCAACUUAUGACUCUGACCUCAAAUCAGGUAGGACUACCCGCUGAACUUAA